rnacentral:rRNA from 1 species
UGGAAGUAAAAAGUCGUAACAAGGUUUCCGUAGGUGAACCUGCGGAAGGAUCAUUACCGAGUGAGGGCCCUCUGGGUCCAACCUCCCACCCGUGUUUAUUUUACCUUGUUGCUUCGGCGGGCCCGCCUUAACUGGCCGCCGGGGGGCUUACGCCCCCGGGCCCGCGCCCGCCGAAGACACCCUCGAACUCUGUCUGAAGAUUGAAGUCUGAGUGAAAAUAUAAAUUAUUUAAAACUUUCAACAACGGAUCUCUUGGUUCCGGCAUCGAUGAAGAACGCAGCGAAAUGCGAUACGUAAUGUGAAUUGCAAAUUCAGUGAAUCAUCGAGUCUUUGAACGCACAUUGCGCCCCCUGGUAUUCCGGGGGGCAUGCCUGUCCGAGCGUCAUUGCUGCCCUCAAGCCCGGCUUGUGUGUUGGGCCCCGUCCCCCGAUCUCCGGGGGACGGGCCCGAAAGGCAGCGGCGGCACCGCGUCCGGUCCUCGAGCGUAUGGGGCUUUGUCACCCGCUCUGUAGGCCCGGCCGGCGCUUGCCGAUCAACCCAAAUUUUUAUCCAGGUUGACCUCGGAUCAGGUAGGGAUACCCGCUGAACUUAAGCAUAUCAAUAAGCGGAGGAA